UCUCAAUCAACCAAACAUUUAUAUACCAUUAAAGUCUCUUAGUAAUCAUUUCACUUGUACACAUUUACACAAUUAAUCAAUUUCAUCAAUAUAACCAUACUAAUUGAGUUUCAAAUUUUCCAUUCAUAAAAUCCAUAUGCAAUAUAACAUAUUACCAAGCUUACACAUAUUUAUACAUGCCCAUAAAUAAGUCCAAAAUAAUAGGGAAAGGGAACUUCUCGACAAUCAAUUUGACAUGUUCUACAAGUUAGCCAUCUACAGGGAAAGGGAAACAACAACGUAAAAAUUACAAAUGUUUAGUAAGUUUACAAGUAUUUAAACAACUUACCUCAAAUUACAACUUAAUUUGAUAAAAUACUAGCUUUACAAGUUUACCUAAAUAUGGAAACCACAUAUCAACAAGGUGAGUAUCAACAUAUAUUGCAUUUUAUAAUAAAUCAAGCAUAUAACAUUCCCAAUAACUUAUAACCAACAUUUAUUGAAUUUGAUAUGAAUUUCAUAUCAUUUUAUAUCUAUUAUCAAUUAUACAUCCAAUUUCAAUAUAAUGUUAUUCACUAUUUCAUUCCAUUAUUCAAAUUUCGAAUCAAAUCAUUAAUUCAUCACAUUUCCGUAUAGGCCCUCUAGGCUUGUAAAAUAAGUUCACAUUAUCUUUUAUAAAUCACAACAUGUAUUUGUAUCAUCCAGUCAUAUGACCAACAAUAUUCGCAUAUGAUUUAUCCCAUUUACACUUUAUACCCCUAUUAACUUAACUUGGACUCGAACGGAUACACGGAUCCAACUAAUCAAACUAGUUUGGCACCCAGUGCCUCAUUAGAUUAUGCUGAAGUAAACAGUUUGUGCCCAAAGGUCAUCAAUGUGUUUGGCACGUAGUGCUUCAUCGGUAUAACCGAAGUAAUUAGGCACCUAGUGCCUCAUCGACACAUAGUUAAAGUAACCCUAAACUCUUCCUAUCCUAUUAUAUGCCAACUAUAUCCAGCUCUACCCAAACAGAUAAUAAGGUAGCAAUUUACUCAAUUUCAUUUAUAAGCCAAUUUCUCAAUUCGAUGCUGUCAUUUCAUCAACCAAUUAUCAAUUUGUAUGUAUAACAUUAUAAUUCAUCUUAGUAUAAAGCUAAUUUUGCAAUUACAACAAUUUACAAUAUUUCCAUAUCUAUUCAAUUUAGUCCUCUCUCUCGAAGAUCAAACAUAAUCAUAUUAACUUGGUUCAAUUUAACAAAUCAACCUCAUACUGCAAAUCAUUAUAUUCAACUCAUUAGUCAAUUUGUCAUUUCUUUAUAAUUUAUCCAUAUCUCACCUUUUUGUACCAAAUCGUAACAAUCCAAAUUUCAAAUAAAUAUAUUUACAAUUAUAAUUUUAAAUAUAUAAAAUUUUAACACAAAUAUGCCAUAUGAACUUACUUGGUCAAAAUAGCAAAUGAUCAAUUCUCUAAGGACUAAUCAGCAAAUAUGUAUUUUUCCCUAAUUAAUUCUAAUUUGGUCCAAUUCGCGAUCUAUACAAUUACUCAAUUCAAUUUAUCAAUUUAAACCGUCUUAUUCAUCCUAUUAUAAACAUAUAUAUGUUUAACUUUACUAUUCAAAUGCCACUUAGACUUUUUUAUUUUAUUCAAUUUAGUCCCUAAAAUUGAAACUGCCAUAAUUUUCACAUUUAAGCCCCGUUUUCAUCCCGAUCUUAGUUUCAUCCCUGUACAACCCUCUAAAUUUAAUAAUUAUAGAAAUUUCAUGUCAAUUUCAAAAUAUUUUUAUUUUAGUCCCUAAAAUCAAAACUAACAAAUUUCACUUUACAAAUUUGUCCUAUUACAUUUCCAAGCUUCAAAUCCUACCAUUAAACAUUAAAAAUAUCAAAAAUCAUCAAUGGAAACAUUUUAAAACUCUAACAAUUUUACGAUUUAAUAUCGUGUCUAACUAGAUUAAGCUACAACGAUCUAAAAACAUAAAAUUUACGAAAAAUGAACUUAAAAUUGGUUUCCAUGCAAAGGCCGAAUCUUGAAAUUGUUUGAAGCUUUCUUCCUCUUCUACAAUGGUGUUCGGAUAGUGGGAGGAUUAGAAUAAAAAAAUUCUCUUCCCACACACUUAUGUUAUCUUUUAUUAUUUUCAUAUAAUAUUAUUUGUUUUAACUAUAAUUAAUAAAACAAAGUAAAAUACCUACUCCAACAUUCCAACAUUCUUAAUAUUGGCUUAAUUGCCCUUUACAACCCUAGAAUUCACUAUAUAUACCUUUAACCAACAAAAAUUCAAUAGAAAUCAAAUUUUACAAUUUUUACGAUUUAGUUUUGUACCCUAAUUAAUCAUCCAAUCACUAAAAUUUCCAAACCAAAAUUCAAUUCACUUAUAUAGCAACUCUUUAAAUAUUUACGAGCUUGAUUACGGAAAUGAGGUCCCGAUACCUCAUUUUCCAAAACCACUGACUUUAAGGUCAAACCACUUGUACUUUAACUAACUAUCUAAUUAGUAGAUUUAUCAUAUCAAAGUUCAAUAUAACUUUACAAUAGACUUGUAAAUAUUAAUUAAGAAAAUUUACGGACUCGAUUAUCGGAUAACGAGAUUCCAAAACCACCAUUUUUGACACCACUAACUUUCGGGUCAUUACAUCUCUCUUUGACUUGUUGUGAUACCACAAAGGCCAAGUACAGAUAUUUGGGCCCCUGGAGAUAAAAUUCAAUCCAAAAACACUCUAAAACAUCACCAAUCACUACCUUAACAUAUCAUUAUCAUAUGUUUUCAACCAUUACAUAUUCAUUUCAUAAAUUCAAUAAAUCCAACAUCUUAAAUCAUGGACAUUUUAACAUAUUCAUUAACAUGUUUAUAUUCAUAUUAAUAUCACCAUUUUACUAUUCCCUUAAACAUAUUAACUUAGGAAAAGUAAGGUUAUCCAAGGAUACUCACCUCUUGGAUGCAUUUUUACUCAAAAUCAAGCUUCCAAGUACUUGAAUCCAUCCUCCUCCUAGCUUGAAUAUCCAAUAACCAUCAUUUCCUCAUUUUUUUCAUACACCAAAAGUAAACUAACAUUAACAUAUUUCAAAUUUUUCUUAUACAAAAAAUCUCAAAUACUGAGCUAAAAGAAGUGGACAACAUCAUUACAAACAUUUAUAAAGCUUUCUCUUUCUAGGUUCUAUUUUCUCUCUCUAAUACUCAUGAAAGCCCUUGUUGAAAAUGUGUCGGGGGUUAAAGGUGUUAAUGACUUUAUAAGGUAGUUUUUCAAGUGAUUUGAACAAAAUCCCAAAGUUUGGGUGUUGAGUUUUGGACAAAUUUCAUGAAAACGUAAGGAAAAUGAGAGAAGAAGAAGAGUCUCACUAUGGGAGGGCUGGCCGGCUACAACGGGCUGAAUGGGAGGUCUUUUUUCCUCUCUUU
rnacentral:lncRNA from 1 species